rnacentral:rRNA from 1 species
CCACGGAAGUUCUCAGAGAUGAGAAUGUGCCUUCGGGAACCGUGAGACAGGUGCUGCAUGGCUGUCGUCAGCUCGUGUUGUGAAAUGUUGGGUUAAGUCCCGCAACGAGCGCAACCCUUAUCCUUUGUUGCCAGCGGUCCGGCCGGGAACUCAAAGGAGACUGUUAGUGAUAAACUGGAGGAAGGUGGGGAUGACGUCAAGUCAUCAUGGCCCUUACGACCAGGGCUACACACGUGCUACAAUGGCUGGUACAAAGAGAAGCGAAAGGGAGACCUGAAGCGAAUCUCAUCAAAGCCAGUCAUAGUUCGGAUUGCAGGCUGCAACUCGCCUGCAUGAAGUCGGAGUUGCUAGUAACCGCAGGUCAGCAAUACUGCGGUGAAUACGUUCCCGGGCCUUGUACACAC